GCUUGUCUCAAAGAUUAAGCCAUGCAUGUCUAAGUGUAAAUACGUCUACACUGUGAAACUGCGAAUGGCUCAUUAAAUCAGUUAUCGUUUAUUUGAUGAUCUCUUGUUACAUGGAUAACCGUAGUAAUUCUAGAGCUAAUACAUGCGUCAAUGCCCGACUUUGGAAGGGCUGUGUUUAUUAGAUCCAAAACCAAUGCGGGGCAACCCGGUUACUGGUGAUUCAUAAUAACCUAUCGGACCGAAUGGCCUUGCGCCGUCGGUGCAUCAUUCAAAUUUCUGCCCUAUCAAUUUGUUGGUAGUAUAUAGGACUACCAAGAUGAUUACGGGUAACGGAGAAUUAGGGUUUGAUUCCGGAGAGGGAGCCUGAGAAACGGCUACCACAUCUAAGGAAGGCAGCAGG
rnacentral:rRNA from 1 species